GGUAUUGCAAAAAAAAGUGUUUAACUCAUGCCUGGAAGUUUUGACUGCUGUCUCUUCACAAACUAGCUAACGUUAGCUUGCUAAAGUGACGCACUUGGUGGAUUAGGAUGUUAAGACUAGCAUGGCGUCGCUCGGCAUCCAAACAUAGCCGCGCGGGACCUACAUGCGUGUUAACUGCAGCUUAUUCGGGAGCGUAUAGUCCACAGCAGAAAUCACAGGGUGACUUAAGGUGUUUCAGACAAAUUCCCCACCCACCAAGCGACAGGUCACCGCUCCUCCAUCCCGGGCGGCCUGCUACCUCAGUCCAUCUGUCUUCAUGAGUAUGGCGUCAGGGAGUGAAGGGCCAUCAUCCACUUCUCACAAACACUCCAACAGGUUAGCUAAGGAGAGGUCACCAUACCUGCUACAACAUGCGCACAACCCUGUCGACUGGUAUCCAUGGGGGAAGGAUGCUUUUGACAAAGCAAAGAAUGAAGACAAACC